AUCCAAGCACCACAAGUGCACACUACAACUUGGAGGAUCUGCGACCAUGUUGUUCAGUGUUUUGAGAGAGAUUUGAGCGUAUUUUUGAGCUGUUACUCUGUCGUUUUGUAGUUGCGCUAUUGUCUUUGAUUUUGUGUGUAUUGUUGCUACGUUAUGUACUUAUGUGUGUUUUAGCUUCCUCCCUUACUCUGAUUUUGAUUGUGAUCAUCUUGUGUAAGGCGUGAGAGGCUUCAACUUGUGGAGAUUUCUCACAAACAGGUUGAGAUAUAAGGAAGAAUAUUGUGACACUCAAGUUUGAUAUUUGAGUCACUUGAGACGGGUUGAGUGCAACCCUUGAUCAAAUGAGAUCGCCACAACAUGGUGUAGUCUUUGGCCGAACCCCGAGAAAUAUGAUGCUCUCACAUACGGACGCCAUGAGGCCGCCGGCGACGAAGGAUGCGGUAUUGGCCAAGCCGUCUUCGACUACGGUGAGUUUCACCGCGAGUUCGGCAUCCAACGCCAACAGCCAGACGAUGCUAUUCGGGGGUGGGCUCCGUCAAGUCGGCGUGUUCGUGCGCACGUGCUCCGGGAAGUGAUCGGUGCGUGUGGACGGCUGCACGGCCAAGGAAGCCCCUGCCCCCGCCACCGAGCCGGUGGCGACCAGGCUCGACUGGUACAUGGAGCUGAGGAUGCGUAAGGCUGCACUUGUGCUCUCUAGGGAUGGCAAUAGCCAUGGCUUGGUGGUGGCUGGUCUCCCGCGCGCCAAGCAUGAAUCUUGGGACCGCGAAAGUGGCAGCCAUCAGGAGGGAGGUGAGGUGACAGGAGAGGAGGAGGUUGCUGAGCUCACCUUCUUCAGGUUCUAUCAGGAGAAGCUACUACACGCUGGUGGCUCCGGUCAUAGCCAACGUGCCGGAGAGCGUGUGGGCAUCUCCUUCACAUCUCCUCGCCGAGGUUGCUGAUGAUGUUAUCAGAUCUGUUUUGAACCAUUAUAGAUCUAAUUGAGACCCGGACAACGUUUAAGGAUAGGAUUGACACACUUUAAAUGUUAUGGUUAAAUUAGCAAUCUGACAGGACACGUACUUCUUUUUU